UCAUAAGGGAUGCAACGAGUUGCCGAUUC
rnacentral:sRNA from 1 species